GACGGAAGGUGCAAGCGUUGCUCGGAAUCACUGGGCGUAAAGGGGUGCGUAGGCGGCUUCUUAAGUCUGGUGUGAAAGCCCAGGGCUCAGCUCUGGAAGUGCACUAGAAACUGGGAAGCUUGAGUACCGGAGGGGAGAGUGGAAUUCCUGGUGUAGCGGUGAAAUGCGUAGAUAUCAGGAGGAACACCGAUUGCGAAGGCAGCUCGCUGGAACGUUACUGACGCUGAGACGCGAAAGCGUGGGGAGCAAACAGG
rnacentral:rRNA from 1 species